CCUACGGGAGGCAGCAGUGAGGAAUAUUGGUCAAUGGGCGCGAGCCUGAACCAGCCAAGUAGCGUGAAGGAUGACUGCCCUAUGGGUUGUAAACUUCUUUUAUAAAGGAAUAAAACGAGGCACGUGUGCCUUUUUGCAUGUACUUUAUGAAUAAGGAUCGGCUAACUCCGUGCCAGCAGCCGCGGUAAUACGGAGGAUCCGAGCGUUAUCCGGAUUUAUUGGGUUUAAAGGGAGCGUAGAUGGGUUGUUAAGUCAGUUGUGAAAGUUUGCGGCUCAACCGUAAAAUUGCAAUUGAUACUGGCAGCCUUGAGUACAGUUGAGGUAGGCGGAAUUCGUGGUGUAGCGGUGAAAUGCUUAGAUAUCACGAAGAACUCCGAUUGCGAAGGCAGCUUACUAAACUGUGACUGACAUUGAUGCUCGAAAGUGUGGGUAUCAAACAGGAUUAGAUACCCCAGUAGUC
rnacentral:rRNA from 1 species